rnacentral:rRNA from 1 species
GUGGGGAAUCUUCCGCAAUGGACGAAAGUCUGACGGAGCAACGCCGCGUGAGUGAAGAAGGUUUUCGGAUCGUAAAGCUCUUUCGUUAGGGACGAACGUGCUCUUUGUGAAUAAUGAGGAGUAAUGACGGUACCUAAAUAAGAAGCCACGGCUAACUACGUGCCAGCAGCCGCGGUAAUACGUAGGUGGCAAGCGUUGUCCGGAAUUAUUGGGCGUAAAGCGCGCGCAGGCGAGAUAUCAAGUCUGUCUUAAAAGUGCGAGGCUCAACCUCGUGAGGGGACAGAAACUGGUAUUCUUGAGUGUCGGAGAGGAAAGUGGAAUUCCAAGUGUAGCGGUGAAAUGCGUAGAGAUUUGGAAGAACACCAGUGGCGAAGGCGACUUUCUGGACGAUGUCUGACGCUGAGGCGCGAAAGCUAGGGGAGCGAACGGGAUUAGAUACCCUUGUAGUCC